rnacentral:rRNA from 1 species
UACGAAGGGGGCUAGCGUUGCUCGGAAUCACUGGGCGUAAAGCGCACGUAGGCGGCUUCUUAAGUCAGGGGUGAAAUCCUGGAGCUCAACUCCAGAACUGCCUUUGAUACUGAGGAGCUUGAGUCCGGGAGAGGUGAGUGGAACUGCGAGUGUAGAGGUGAAAUUCGUAGAUAUUCGCAAGAACACCAGUGGCGAAGGCGGCUCACUGGCCCGGUACUGACGCUGAGGCGCGAAAGCGUGGGGAGCAAAGCAGG